AUUGAACGCUGGCGGCAUGCUUUACACAUGCAAGUCGAACGGCAGCGCGGGGCAACCCUGGCGGCGAGUGGCGAACGGGUGAGUAAUGCAUCGGAACGUAUCCUGUAAUGGGGGAUAACGUAGCGAAAGUUACGCUAAUACCGCAUACGCUCGAGAGAGGAAGGUGGGGAUCGCAAGACCUCACGUUAUAGGAGCGGCCGAUGUCCGAUUAGCUAGUUGGUGGGUGAAGGCCUACCAAGGCGACGAUCGGUGGCUGGUCUGAGAGGAUGAUCAGCCACACUGGGACUGAGACACGGCCCAGACUCCUACGGGAGGCAGCAGUGGGGAAUUUUGGACAAUGGGCGAAAGCCUGAUCCAGCCAUGCCGCGUGCGGGAAGAAGGCCUCGGUUGUAAACGCUUAGUCCGGAAAAGGGUAGCGAGGAGUAA
rnacentral:rRNA from 1 species